rnacentral:rRNA from 1 species
UACAGAGGUGGCAAGCGUUGUUCGGAAUUACUGGGCGUAAAGGGCGCGUAGGCGGUUCGUUAAGUCCUGUGUGAAAUCCCCCGGCUCAACUGGGGAACUGCACAGGAAACUAGCGGGCUUGAGUUCGGGAGAGGGAAGCGGAAUUCCGGGUGUAGCGGUGAAAUGCGUAGAUAUCAGGAGGAACACCGGUGGUGUAGACGGCUUUCUGGACCGUAACUGACGCUGAGACACGAAAGCGUGGGUAGCAAACAGG